UACAGAGGGUGCAAGCGUUAAUCGGAAUUAUUGGGCGUAAAGGGCGCGUAGGCGGCUUUUCAAGUGACGGGUGAAAUCCCUCGGCUUAACCGAGGAACUGCCUGUCAGACUGGAAGGCUUGAGACCGGGAGAGGUGAGUGGAAUUCCCAGUGUAGCGGUGAAAUGCGUAGAUAUUGGGAGGAACACCAGUGGCGAAGGCGGCUCACUGGACCGGAACUGACGCUGAGGCGCGAAAGCGUGGGGAGCAAACAGG
rnacentral:rRNA from 1 species